AAAUUACUUUGCUAUAAUAACUCGAAUUAAACAUAUGUGUAUACAUGUAGAUUCUUAACAUAUAUACGGAGCAAACUACUGGAUUCUGUUGAGCCCGUAGAUUAUACUGUGUAUUCAUGUUCUGUAGAUUACCAAAAAUGUCAAUCUAAAUCAAAGAUCAAAUAUCCAAAUACAAGCCAUUCCAUUAUAUAUAAGUUAUAACCAACCAAUAAGUCAAUGACAAAAGCUCACAAGGAAACACAAAAUGACAGCAUAGUUGAUACACAGAAGAGAUUGAUAUUCUCCCCUUUACAGCACACAACACUUCUUCAUGGCCUCAAUUAUGUAUGAUAUGAAUACACAACAUGCCUAGAGACCCUGUUCAAUGAUAUAGUCACCCAGCCUUUCAACAAUCAUAUUACACUGGCCAGGAGUCAUCGGCUCGUCAUAUAUUCCAAUGAUCAAUGCCUGGUUAGUCUUCUUAACAGUGAUACCACCGGCACCCUUCUUGCCUCGUAUAACAGCUCCUGCCUCCCCUUGAAUCACCAUAUACUUUGUUCCCCCAAGAUGUAAACCAGUUGGAGCAAGUGUUCCAGGUUCAGCAAAGUCAUUCAUUAUGGCUGUUAUUUCUUCUGGUUUAAACUGAGGAAAAUUAGCAGAUUGAGCCCAAACGGAACCAUCCUGACCGAUGAUAGCAGCAGAAGUGAGAUGAUUACCUUCAAUAUCACACAUCAAAUGAUCAUCAACAUACGUUUGCCACGACAUCUUCUUCUUCUACUUCCGCUGCUGCUGCUGCUGCUGCUG
rnacentral:misc_RNA from 1 species